rnacentral:lncRNA from 1 species
CCCCUUAACUGCAGGUUACUUACACACGAAGGAUGAAGAAAUUCCUAUAGCUGCCCCCCACCGGAAGUGUAUGUCUACUUUUGAUGGAUUGAGAAAUGAUUGCUAUGUGCAUAAUAGCCCCUCUUUAGCGUAGUGCUGAUCUUCAUCAGUAACGUCAAUAGACUUCUGUGUUAGAAACGUCCCUUUUACAGCUACAUGACUACAUCGUUGGACUUGUGUGUUAGAAACAGCCCUGUUUCCGGCUUACUGUUGGCGCCCCCAAUUUAAUUUGAUCUGGUAUUGUUGGUGCAACAUGUUAGUGCCCUUUGCAGCUAUUCUUGCAAAACUUAGCUUGCAUUGUGGUUUUGAGACCACGGAGUAUGGCCAUGUCUUGAUGAUGUUAGACAAGUUAAUCUAUAUAUGGGACAAUGAAGGAGCUCAACUCGUAUGUACUCUCUCUGUAAAUAAAUGCAAGACAGUGAUCUAAAACGUCUUAUACUGUUUAUUUACAGAGGUACUCCCUCCGUCCCAUAAUAUAGGACGUUUUUUGACACUAGCGUAGUGUCCUUAGUCCCAAAAUAUAGGACGUUUUUUUGACACUAGUGCUGUCAAAAAGCGUCUUACAUUAUGGGACGGAGGGAGUAGUACAUUUCAUCAAGCUUGCAUUGAAAU